UACGUAGGGGGCAAGCGUUGUCCGGAAUCAUUGGGCGUAAAGAGCGUGUAGGCGGUCCGGUAAGUCGGCUGUGAAAGUCCAGGGCUCAACCCUGGGAUGCCGGUUGAUACUGCCGGACUAGAGUUCGGAAGAGGCGAGUGGAAUUCCCGGUGUAGCGGUGAAAUGCGCAGAUAUCGGGAGGAACACCUAUGGCGAAGGCAGCUCGCUGGGACGUUACUGACGCUGAGACGCGAAAGCGUGGGGAGCAAACAGG
rnacentral:rRNA from 1 species